UGUUUUGUGCUAGAUACUACUCUUUAUGUUAGGAAUAUAAGCAAUUGUAUAAGAUACUUACAGAUUGCAGUAAGUGGUAAAAAAUAUAACAUGAAGAGGGAAUAGUGAUGAGAAGGUAACUAUAUAGGGGAGUGGUCAGGGAGUGCUUCACUGAAGAUGUAAAAUAUGAACUGAAACCUAUAUCCUGAUUUAAAAUAGCUUUGCAGAUGUUUUAGGUAAAUAGCAGCAAGCGAACAAUACCAAAGUAGAAUGACUCCUGCCUGCUACAUUUCCCCAGAUACCCAGGACCUUCAUGCUGUCACUCUCCAUGACCUGACCAACAUCUAUUUUGAGAAAUUAUUUUAUAUACUCAUUCAAACAGUCAUCUUUUGUGUCCAGAGUUGGUUCCUUCUGGUGGGUUCGUGGUCUCGCUAACUUCAAGAAUGGAGCCACGGACCUUCGCGACACUUCUAUUUAAACUUCUUGGAAGGAUAUCUCAAUAACAUUCCUUUGCUGAGGACCAUAAGAUAGAAGAUGAGAAUCCAUCUGCCCUCUUCUCUGCACCCAGGCUUCAAUCCUGUUUGAUCAUGCAGGGGCUACAAGGCCUUCGACACAAAGAACUUGUCUUAGAUUCUAAUCAGUUUAACAAAUAGGACAGACAGCUGCUGAGCACUGUCUGAGUGACACUGAUUUACAUACAAAUGAACCACCAAUGUCCCCUUCUAUCAACUCAGAAUAAAAUCUGGUUUUAGCAUAUGCAGUCCUACGAGACAUGGUUAAAGGAUAUGAAUGAUAGAUAGAGAUAAAAGAAAUCAAGGACCAUUCCUCCACAAGUCUCCAAAGAGGAAAACAACAAUCGAAGAAAAAAGAGUGAGAGAACAGAUGGGCUGGCAGAGUUUUGCUUUCUAUGUGACAUUGUGUACUUAUUAUUCGCAUGAGGACUAAUUUAUAAACCCGGAUAGUGUUUAUAAACUAUACUGUCCUAAUGGAAAUGAAAGCAUUAAUACAACUAGAAGAUUCUUUACUUUCCAAGCUUUAAUUAAAAUCACAGGCGUUAAGAAGCAAAAGUGCCUUCAUGGAAUACAAGCCUAAUGAAGGAUUUCCUUGCCUAGCACAGAGCUCUGUGUGCAGUCCCAGCUUGCUGGCACCAGCCACUGGAAAAGCCGACCCCCGUGUAACCAAAAGAGCUCUCUCUGAAAAUUAGAAAAGCAAAUCAUACCACACAUUUUUUUUUUCAAAUAAAUAUAGUUGCCAAGUCAGAUCCAGGAAAAACAAUAGCACGUCAUAAGUAAAACACACACACACACACACAGACACAGACACAGACACACACACACACACACAGCCUUAGAACAUGCUAUGUUAAUUAGCUACCUGGAAGACCAGAGGCAAAUGUGUUUGUUCUAUGCGCUGAACACUUAAAAGGGAGAGGGAAAGGUGUCAGCUUGGGAAAGAGGAAUGUGGAAAUAUGGCAAAGACAAUCUAAGAGGAGAGAGAGAAAGGAAACAAGAGGAAAGGAUUCGACAGAGGAAUUUCACAACAGCAUAGAAGAAUAGAUCAGGAGUUUUGCUACCAAAUAAUGGAGAAAAAAUACACAGAAGCCUAGGAAGUGACCUUGAUUAAAACGCCCACCAUGUGAAUGC